UACGGAGGGUGCGAGCGUUGUCCGGAAUCACUGGGCGUAAAGGGCGCGUAGGCGGCCUGGUAAGUAGGGGGUGAAAUCCUGCGGCUUAACCGCAGGGCUGCCUUCUAAACUGUCAGGCUUGAGCACAGUAGGGGCAGGUGGAAUUCCCGGUGUAGCGGUGGAAUGCGUAGAGAUCGGGAAGAACAUCAGUGGCGAAGGCGGCCUGCUGGGCUGUUGCUGACGCUGAGGCGCGACAGCGUGGGGAGCAAACAGG
rnacentral:rRNA from 1 species